rnacentral:rRNA from 1 species
UACGGAGGGUGCGAGCGUUGUCCGGAAUCAUUGGGCGUAAAGGGCGCGUAGGUGGCCCGGUCAGUUCGUGGUGAAAGCGCGGGGCUCAACUCCGCGUCGGCCAUGAAUACUGCUGGGCUGGAGCACUGUAGAGGCAGGCGGAAUUCCGGGUGUAGCGGUGGAAUGCGUAGAGAUCCGGAAGAACACCGGUGGCGAAGGCGGCCCGCUGGGCAGGAAGGCUCGCAAGAGCCGGCUGACGCUGAGGCGCGACAGCGUGGGGAGCAAACAGG